rnacentral:rRNA from 1 species
AAUUCGACGCAACGCGAAGAACCUUACCUGGCCUUGACAUCCAGAGAACUUUCCAGAGAUGGAUUGGUGCCUUCGGGAACUCUGAGACAGAUGCUGCAUGGCCGUCGUCAGCUCGUGUCGUGAGAUGUUGGGUUAAGUCCCGUAACGAGCGCAACCCCUAUCCCUGGUUGCUAGCAGGUAAUGCUGAGAACUCCAGGGAGACUGCCGGUGACAAACCGGAGGAAGGUGGGGAUGACGUCAGGUCAUCAUGGCCCUUACGGCCAGGGCUGCACACGUGCUACAAUGACGCGUACAAAGGGCUGCCAACUCGCGAGAGUGAGCUAAUCCCUUAAAGCGCGUCGUAGUCCGGAUCGCAGUCUGCAACUCGACUCCAUGAAGUCGGAAUCGCUAGUAAUCGCGGAUCAGAAUG